rnacentral:lncRNA from 1 species
GCUUCUUGGCUCCUCAUAAUCCACUUCUGCAUACCACUUGUAAUUUUUGAUCCUGCUUGUCCUCAACCCUGGAUUUAUAGACUGCUUCUGGACCCUUCCAAAUGCACAACUUGGCACAAGGAUUAAAAACAAAGUAAAAAAGACCGAGAAAUAAACACACACAAUUCCAGAAGAAAAGAAUGUGUGACAAGAAUACCUGUGACAUAUUGCAAAGGAUUAACAGAAAGCGGAUAAUAAAAGAUAAUAUCACCUGAAUCACCUUUCAGGAGAACAAUGAAGAGGAAGUACUUGAAAUCUGCAGGGAAUCCAGUGGUUAUCAAGCCACUCUGCCAGCCCACAGACCAGAGAACGUUACAACAGAUGCCAG